rnacentral:pre_miRNA from 3 species
UCUUUUGAAUGAGCUAAGGAAGUCGUUUCUUGAGAUGGAAUCUACUGCUGAUGAAGAUGCUGUGAA